UAAUCAUGCAAUGAUGCAGAGGUAAUCAUGCAUGUCAUCAAUAAUUUUUAUCUGGUGGAACGAGUUUUUGGUGGUAAUCUCGAAAGAAAUACAAAGAGUGAUAAAAGAGAGAAAGAGGUAUUAUACAAAUAUAAAAUGGAAGUUAGAUGGUGAAAAUGUGCACGUUUUAAACAUAAACUUGAAAGAGUACCAUUAUAUUUUCUAGAUCUAUAUAGCUAUCAAACUUGUGGUCUUAACCUGCCAGCCGUCAUUUGGACGGCCACUUUAGAAAGACGGCUUUUGUACGACAGACGACGGAAGAAGAGUGUUGGAAAAAGUACGGUCUGGAGGACGUAGUAAAUGUGUUUGAACAUGCAGGGAAUAGCUUGGAACGCGUUUCUUCGUGCUAUUUAUAUGAUGAAGUUAGAUGUUUAAAUAUAAACAGACAAAGGAACAUCUCCAUAAUCUGAACGGUCACUACUUGGAUGUUAUCCAGAGGACGUUAUCCCGCACCCUCACUAGUAACUCUUGAUAUAUUACUUCAAAAGGAGAGCUUCAGACUGUAAAGCCCAAAGUUUUCUGAGUACCAACCCAUUUUGACUUAUCUUUUUUAUUUGGAAUGAACAAUGUACGAAAGAUACUUUUUUUGCAAAAUGUUGUAUUUGACAAAAGAAGAUUACAAAAC